rnacentral:lncRNA from 1 species
GGGCUUUGGGUGUGCCGGAGGUGAAAGCCAGACAGUGCCCAGAUACCUCGCUGGAUACUGCGCGGUGGGACAGCUCCACCGGGCUGCGAGUGUCGGCGCUGUAGCUACAGUGGAGCGUUUCCUCACGUUCCGGGUAAACGGUGUCAACGACCCAGACAAGAAGAACAGAACUGCACUGCACUAUGCUUGUGCGCAUGGCCACCUGGGGGUGGUAACUCUUCUCAUAGAGAGGAACUGCAACAUUAAUGCCUGCGAUGACGACAACUGCACGCCUCUCAUUAAGGCCUCACAGCAUCAGCAUGGGGACUGUGUGGCUGCCUUGCUACAACACGGUGCAGAUCCCAAUGCUGUGGAUGCGCUUGGAAACACUGCCCUCCACUAUGCAGUGCACAGUGAAAACACGCUCAUAGCUUCCCAGCUCCUUGAACACAGCGCAAACAUUGAAGCCAAAACAAAGGAGAGAACCUGCCACACAUUUGAUGAAAAUGAACAGAAGUGAAAAUAAAGGUUGUUUUCCGGGAGUUUCCAUGGCAACGUUUGAGCAGUGUGCUGCAGACACAAGUGCUGUGCUACCGGUGAAGCAGAGCUGUGCUCGCCAACUCCAUCAGGACGGACAAAGCCCUGCAAAGAGCACAUCUAAAGAAAAGCACGAGGCCAAGAAGCAAAUCAAUGGUGUGGAAGGCCUGGAAGAUGGGACUCUGCCGUGUGAAGCAGCCUCAGAUGACUUUGCAGGAAGCACAGUUGCAAGAAGAUCCACAGAGGGAAGGUGUCCUGAGUUCUGCAAGAAUGGAACAUCUGCUAUGGAAGUAUGGCUUAAAGCCAAAUGCAAAAGACCUUAAAUAUUUGUAAAUCUGAUCAGCAAUAUAGUGUGGUGAUUAUGUUGGCUGUGGCAAUAAGCACACCCCGGUUAAGCCGUAGAGACCUUAUGUUAUGUGCAAUGCCUAAUUUCAGGCUGGGAUUUAAGUCAGUGCUAUGUUACAUAAUUUCCAUGGUCACAACCCUGUAUGCCACCAUCUUUCUCUUUAGUUUCUUAAGAAUGGAAUCAUUAAGGAUUGAGAAUAAUUAGUUAUUCUGUAAAAUGCCUUAUAGGCUGGAAGUUGAGUGUCUCAAGUUAGAAGACUCAGUAAAGAACCAAGCAGAAGAAAUUGAAGAGAUUGAGAAUCAACUGUUACGAGAAGGUUUGGUAAAUUAGUCUCCUAUUCACUCCUGCCACCAUAAAGAGAAAACUUGCCGUCCUCAGUGCUACUUUAUGGGAAAGUGUUAGGGACAGGAAAGAGUUAAUUGACAAAAAUUUCGGUGUUCAUAGUGAUAAUUUGUGUAAGAGUGCAAGUCCUCUUGACUUAACAGAAGAAUUUGAUUGAAAUCAUAGAAUUAAUGAUUUGUGCAGCAUUUCAUGAAUGUUGGGUUUCAACUGUCAAAAUCUUGUCUAGAAAGACCUUUACAUGUGCACGUUACCAAACACAGACACUUGUAAACACAUAAUUAAAAAUAUUUUAG